rnacentral:rRNA from 1 species
AUCAAAACUAACAAGAGAAAGAACAGAAAAGAGAGAGUAUACUUGAUACUACGCCCAACACCAUCGAUUAUGGGUGCGAGAAAUGCUACCAUCUGCUUUGUGCUGAUCCUUGUGUUAUUCGUGAAUCAUGGUUCUGCAGAAAAAAAGUGCUGGGAAAAUACCUCUGGCAGUCCACUCUGUGUAGGCUUUCUAUGCAAGGCAACAUGCUCGAUUGCAGGCAAAAUGUUUAAUGCUGUCGUCAAGGAACACAAGUGUAUAGGAUCAGCAUUCAGUAGCCAAUGCUACUGCUAUCUCUGCGACAAAUAG